GAUGAAGAACGUAGCGAAAUGCGAUACUUGGUGUGAAUUGCAGAAUCCCGUGAACCAUCGAGUCUUUGAACGCAAGUUGCGCCCGAAGCCAUUAGGCCGAGGGCACGCCUGCCUGGGCGUCACACGUCGUUGCCCCCCCAUCUACUCCUUCGGGAUUGCGGGGGGCGGAUGAUGGCCUCCCGUGCGCCUCGUCGCGCGGUUGGCAUAAAUGCCAAGUCCUCGGCGACGCACGCCACGACAAUCGGUGGUUGCGAAACCUCGGUUGCCCGUCGUGUGCGGUCAUCGCGCAUCGAGGGCUCGAAAAAAUUGCCGGGCUCCGGCUCGGCUUUCAACGCUACCCCAGGUCAGGCGGGGUUACCCGCUGAAUUUAAGCAUAUCAAUAAGCGGAGGA
rnacentral:misc_RNA from 1 species